AAAUUGAAGAGUUUGAUCAUGGCUCAGAUUGAACGCUGGCGGCAGGCCUAACACAUGCAAGUCGAACGGUAACAGGAAGCAGCUUGCUGCUUCGCUGACGAGUGGCGGACGGGUGAGUAAUGUCUGGGAAACUGCCUGAUGGAGGGGGAUAACUACUGGAAACGGUAGCUAAUACCGCAUAAUGUCGCAAGACCAAAGAGGGGGACCUUCGGGCCUCUUGCCAUCGGAUGUGCCCAGAUGGGAUUAGCUUGUUGGUGGGGUAACGGCUCACCAAGGCGACGAUCCCUAGCUGGUCUGAGAGGAUGGCCAGCCACACUGGAACUGAGACACGGUCCAGACUCCUACGGGAGGCAGCAGUGGGGAAUAUUGCACAAUGGGCGCAAGCCUGAUGCAGCCAUGCCGCGUGUAUGAAGAAGGCCUUCGGGUUGUAAAGUACUUUCAGCGGGGAGGAAGGGAGUAAAGUUAAUACCUUUGCUCAUUGACGUUACCCGCAGAAGAAGCACCGGCUAACUCCGUGCCAGCAGCCGCGGUAAUACGGAGGGUGCAAGCGUUAAUCGGAAUUACUGGGCGUAAAGCGCACGCAGGCGGUUUGUUAAGUCAGAUGUGAAAUCCCCGGGCUCAACCUGGGAACUGCAUCUGAUACUGGCAAGCUUGAGUCUCGUAGAGGGGGGUAGAAUUCCAGGUGUAGCGGUGAAAUGCGUAGAGAUCUGGAGGAAUACCGGUGGCGAAGGCGGCCCCCUGGACGAAGACUGACGCUCAGGUGCGAAAGCGUGGGGAGCAAACAGGAUUAGAUACCCUGGUAGUCCACGCCGUAAACGAUGUCGACUUGGAGGUUGUGCCCUUGAGGCGUGGCUUCCGGAGCUAACGCGUUAAGUCGACCGCCUGGGGAGUACGGCCGCAAGGUUAAAACUCAAAUGAAUUGACGGGGGCCCGCACAAGCGGUGGAGCAUGUGGUUUAAUUCGAUGCAACGCGAAGAACCUUACCUGGUCUUGACAUCCACGGAAGUUUUCAGAGAUGAGAAUGUGCCUUCGGGAACCGUGAGACAGGUGCUGCAUGGCUGUCGUCAGCUCGUGUUGUGAAAUGUUGGGUUAAGUCCCGCAACGAGCGCAACCCUUAUCCUUUGUUGCCAGCGGUCCGGCCGGGAACUCAAAGGAGACUGCCAGUGAUAAACUGGAGGAAGGUGGGGAUGACGUCAAGUCAUCAUGGCCCUUACGACCAGGGCUACACACGUGCUACAAUGGCGCAUACAAAGAGAAGCGACCUCGCGAGAGCAAGCGGACCUCAUAAAGUGCGUCGUAGUCCGGAUUGGAGUCUGCAACUCGACUCCAUGAAGUCGGAAUCGCUAGUAAUCGUGGAUCAGAAUGCCACGGUGAAUACGUUCCCGGGCCUUGUACACACCGCCCGUCACACCAUGGGAGUGGGUUGCAAAAGAAGUAGGUAGCUUAACCUUCGGGAGGGCGCUUACCACUUUGUGAUUCAUGACUGGGGUGAAGUCGUAACAAGGUAACCGUAGGGGAACCUGCGGUUGGAUCACCUCCUUA
rnacentral:rRNA from 1 species